rnacentral:rRNA from 1 species
AGAUAAUAGAUACCCUGGUAGCCCCAGCUGUAAACGAUGCAGACUCGGUGAUGAAAUUGGCUUAUUGCUAAAUUCAGUGCCGCAGGGAAGCCGUUAAGUUUGCCGCCUGGGGAGUACGGUCGCAAGACUGAAACUUAAAGGAAUUGGCGGGGAGCACCACAAGGGGUGAAAGCCUGCGGUUCAAUUGGAGUCAACGCCGGAAAUCUUACCGGGGGCGACAGCAGAGUGAAGGUUCAAGCUGAGACUUUACACGACAAGCUGAGAGGAGGUGCAUGGCCGUCGCCAGCUCGUGCCGUGAGUGUCCUGUUAAGUCAGGUAACGAGCCGUAGANCCCUUGCCUCUAGUUGCUACCAUUAUUCUCAGGAGUAGUGGAGCUAAUUAGA